UCUUCUUCUUCUUCGUUCGGUUCUGCGAUCUCCGAUCUACCUGCGCGGUGAUUAUCGAUCGUCCUCCGGUGUCACGCCCGACUUCCGAUCCCAUCUUGAGAAGGAACCGCACGAGGCCUCGCGUCUCCGGUCGCCGGCAUGAUUCAGAUCCCGGCGGUGCCGGUGAAACCGCUGUUCAGCGUGUUGGUGGUCACCCUCUCCGUCCUCCUCGCCAUAUCCGUGCUCGCUCCUCGUUCCAUCUUCUCCCAGACCUCCUUCUCCUACCUUUCCAGAGAGAAUGUCGACAUAUGGAGCGUGAGGAGGAUGGCGGAGUGGAGACCUUGCCAAUGGUGGCUUCAGGGACAUCUGACCGCUCUACCAGAGAAGAGUAAUGGAUACAUCCGCAUCAAUUGCUAUGGUGGCCUCAAUCAGAUGAGAAGAGAUCUAUGUGAUGGUGUCGGCAUUGCUCGUCUGUUGAACGCCACACUUGUUAUGCCAAAAUUUGAAGUUGCUGCGUACUGGAAUGAAUCAAGCGGUUUUGCAGAUGUCUUUGAUGUUGACUACUUCAUUCAACAAAUGACUGGCUUUGUGAGAGUUGCUAAAGAGUUGCCCCCAGAGUUUGCAUCAAAGGAACCCUUUCCAGUAGAUUGUAGCAAACGCAAAGGCCAAUUUGAUUACCUUGAAAGUGUCCUUCCAUCUUUAUUGGAACAUCGUUAUAUUUCUAUUACACCAGCAAUGAGCCAAAGACGGGAUAGAUAUCCAGAGUAUGCAAAGGCUGCUCUCUGUCAAGGCUGUUACAGUGCAUUACGCUUGACCAAAUCUUUGGAGAAGAAAGCUUUGGAGCUUCUCCUGGCCAUACCCAAGCCCUUUCUUGCACUUCACCUCCGUUUUGAACCCGACAUGGUUGCCUACAGCCAAUGUGAGUAUACAGGUCUCUCACCAUCCUCUAUGGAAGCCAUUGAAGCAGCUCGGGGAGAUAAAAAACCAUGGACUGGUGAUCUGGCCAAAAUUUGGAGGAGACGGGGGAAAUGCCCCCUUACACCAAAAGAGACGGCCUAUAUACUGAAAGCUCUUCGGAUUCCUACCAAUACACAUAUUUAUCUAGCUGCCGGUGAUGGUGUCAUGGAAAUUGAAGGGCUGACAUCUAUCUACACUAACGUGGUCACCAAAUCCGUGCUUCUCAGCGGUGAAGAUUUCAAAAGCAUGCACGGGAACACAAAAGCUGCUUUGGAUUACUACGUUUCAAUAAACAGCGAUGCCUACAUGGCUACAUACUUUGGGAACAUGGACAAGAUGGUUGCAGCCAUGCGCGCCUUCAAGGGCUUGUACAAAACUCUUUUCUUGAGCAGAAGAACAUUUUCAGAACUUACUUACAAGGGCUUGAGAGGGAAAAGGUUGGCGCGAGCACUAUGGGAGGCUCAUAGGGAUGAUUUUGUUUUGGGAAGAGGAUCUGCAUUGCCCGACUGCUUUUGCGAGUUCAAAUUAUGAUCUUGAUGUCUGCGCUUCGAAAAGUUUUCCCUUUGUCUCUUUUCUAUCUUCUUCUAUUAGUGCAUCACCAAAGAGCAUCGUAGUAUUCUUGUCAACAGUAACCCAGAGUGGAAAGUUCAAAAUGUGGACAUUUUGCAGAAUUAUUACUUAACACCGACGAAGUAGAAUGGAAGAUUAGACAUCAGGAAGAUAUUUUCAACGUCAUCACACGAAAACUAAAACCUGGUCAUUCACAUCGCAAGAAGAUGAAGAUUUCAUAUUGGCUCAGAAUGCCUUCGAAUCUUGUCUUGAUUUUCUAAGCGCUGCCGGGGUCACUGGCCAGAACUGUUCAGGCUGCACUUAUGAAUGUAGCAACAAUCAGAGUUUCCACGAGUUA